AACCCACCUUCCUGCCCAAUAUGAUAGGUUCGGUCUUCCCCUUCUCUCCUAUCACUGACGCGAGGGCGGUCUUCGCCGCUCUGGGAUUGGGCGAGCCCGCCUGUCAAUCAAUUGCUGUGCUGGGUGUAGAGCUGAGGCUGCUCCGCGGAGGAGUGAGAGAGACAAGCGCCCUGCCUGGCUCUGGGUAUUGUUGCUUCUGUGUCUCUGGCUGAUUACUCUGGGACCUUCCUCCUCAGCGCCACGGGAGAUUCCACAGCAAAAUUGACUGCUUUCCAAGUUAAGCCCCAACUGCUCUGGGAGCUUCCUUCUGGUUUCUGCACCUGAAGAAGGUCUUACCAGCAGAAAGUUCUUAGGGACGGGGAGCGAAAAUGAAAAACAAACAAAAAGGCCUGAACGUAAAGUCCUGGGAGAAAAAUGUAAGACGUGCCCUUAACUUGAACCGCAAAUCAAAAUAAGCUGAGUCUGAGGGCCUUCGAAGCGCCCUGGUGCGUGGAUAGCUUCCAUUCUUGGCUGCGGUAGCCUUGCUGUGAGGACAGUAACUUUUCGGUGACAGGUCUGUCCUUUCUUAGCGGCCCAGCCCCAGACACCUGCCAUCAGUAAGUUGGUUCUCCCCACGCCGGAGCUUCAGACCCCAUCACCUGCCUCUUCCUCCCCAGCCAUCUCUGUAGCUCUGCUUAGGGGUUUCCCGCCCAGGGAAGCUUGCUAAGUGCACAGGUGUUUUCCCCAUCCAGCUGCUGAAAGAGCCAGACUUUUUGCGACUCCAUGGAUCUGAAGCCCGCCAGGCUCCUCUCUCCAUGGAAUUUGCCAGGCAAAAAUCCUGGAGCCUUUUGCCAUUUCCUAGGGAUCCAACCAGCGUCUCCUGCACUGGCAAGGGGAUUCUUUACCACCUGGGAAGAUUUCCCUACCCUACCGGGAUUGUAAACUCAAAUCAGGGCAGCAACUCCAUCUAUAUCCUGUAAUUAGGAUCUAAAGUCAAUAAUGUAAGUGGAUUUUGGAUUUAUUCUAAGGAUCUAAAUACCUUUGAAUAUUUUAUCAUGGCUGCUAUGGACUGAAUUGUGUCCCCUCUCAAAAUUCCUGUGUUGAAGCUCUAACCCCCCAAUGUGUAUUUGGAGACAAGGCCUUUCAGGGAUUAUUUAGGUUAACUGAGGUGCUAAGAGUGGAGCCCUAAUCCUAUAGAAUUAGUGUCCUUUAUAAGAAGUGACUGCAGAGACGUAGACACUGUCUUGCUGUCUGUCCUCACAACUGGAAGACACAGUGAGAAGGCAGCCAUGUGCAAACCGGGAAGAGAGCGUUCAACAGAAACUAACCAUACUGGCAUCUGGACGUGGGACUUUCAAUCUCCAAAACUGAUUUUAAGGAAUGGGAAGGAGGAAUGGUCUUAAUGAUAGUUUAAAGGCCUCUUAUAUUUGGACCAAAUUGAUUGGCUUUUGAAGUCAGACAUUUUGUCCCUUGUUGUGAGAUCCUGGAUUCUAAUUCUGAGAGAUGAGGAAUCUGAACUAAUUUCAUGGCUCCAGGGCCCCUGACUUUAUAUGGGGAUGUCCCCCUCCCAGGCAGAAAUGUCCAUUUCAGCUGCCUAAAGCAACUCCCCUGAGCAGAAGGAAUGUGAAACAACAGGACCAGAAGACUAGCCUCCCCAGCUACAAACGUAUCAACUUGAAAUGCUGGGCAUAAAUGGAUUAAAAGGAUACAUAGUUGGUAUCUGCUUGAACAGUGGGCACAAUUCAAACCUGAAAGCAGUAUUUGUAUCCAAAAGAGGUCGUUUCCUAUGCUACAUCCCACAACAUGAGGCCCAAGAUCACUUCUGUCCUGAAGUUGAAAAUAUUAAGAUUGCAUCCCUAUCAUUUUAGUGGGAAUCCUUAGACAUAACCCUUAUGGUGCCUAAGGCAAAUGGCACUUGGUAAUAAGAACUUUUUUCUUUAGUUAGCAGACUAACCCCUAAAAUAGUAAAAAGUCUUAGAUAUAAAGCUAGCUAGUGCAACUUGAUUAUAAGAUAGUGAUUUAAAUGUAGGCAUUGAUGUGAUAUUUGACACUCAUGAGUCAGACUGGCUUUUAACUAAAUAUUUAUCAGAAACUGAUAGGUUACUACCUUAUACCUGAGAAGCCAAGUCCUGAGAAACCUUAUUACCCUGGUACCCUUGGACAGUCUUGCCCCUGAAUGAAAAUGAAAAGACCAUACCUAACUGAUCACCUGAAAGGGAAGACCCAACAACCAUCUUUCUGGGAUAUUGUGAGAUAUCAUGAUAUGCAUAGGAUCUGUGCUAUUAAACAUACCUUCUGAGACCUACUGAAAGAAGCCAUUCUCCCUCCAAACUGAUGAAAAAGGGGAUCAUAUUCUGAUGCUCCAAAGGCUGUGAGCAUGAGUCUACUCAUCCUUGUGCUGAACCCUGCCUAGCAUAACCUUUAACAUCCCUCUUUACAUUCUCUCUCUUCUCCACUGCAACCCAUGAGCAUCAUUUAAGUCUGCUUGUAUUUUAUUAAUACUCUUUGAGUCUAUAUCUUUUUGUAAAAGCCUACUGUUUUAGUGGGAAAAGAACCUUCUUUUAAGCUCCAACCUCUGGAACUAGAAAAUUAGUUCUUAAACAAACUAACAAAGUAGGAUUUGAAAGACAAGAAUGAUAAGUGAGAACAGAGUAGAAAGUAAAGAACAUGCCCUUUCUUAAAUCAGUCACACUUAGGAAGUGAGGGAUUUACCAUGAAGAAGUAAAUGUCUGCCCUUCUUAGAAGGUGUGAUAAUAUUCACAUUGUGUGUAAGUAGUAAAUGAUCAAAAUGAAAUAAGUCUAUAAACAAAUCAUGAAAC